rnacentral:rRNA from 1 species
UACAGAGGGGGCAAGCGUUGUUCGGAAUUACUGGGCGUAAAGGGCGCGUAGGCGGCCCCGCAAGUCACUUGUGAAAUCUCUGGGCAUAACCCAGAACGGCCAAGUGAAACUGCAGGGCUAGAGUGUAGAAGGGGCAAUCGGAAUUCUUGGUGUAGCGGUGAAAUGCGUAGAUAUCAAGAGGAACACCUGAGGUGAAGACGGGUUGCUGGUCUAACACUGACGCUGAGGCGCGAAAGCCAGGGGAGCAAACGGG